rnacentral:rRNA from 1 species
GAUGAACGCUGGCGGCGUGCCUAAUACAUGCAAGUCGAGCGAACGGACGAGAAGCUUGCUUCUCUGAUGUUAGCGGCGGACGGGUGAGUAACACGUGGAUAACCUACCUAUAAGACUGGGAUAACUUCGGGAAACCGGAGCUAAUACCGGAUAAUAUUUUGAACCGCAUGGUUCAAAGGUGAAAGACGGUCUUGCUGUCACUUAUAGAUGGAUCCGCGCUGCAUUAGCUAGUUGGUAAGGUAACGGCUUACCAAGGCAACGAUGCAUAGCCGACCUGAGAGGGUGAUCGGCCACACUGGAACUGAGACACGGUCCAGACUCCUACGGGAGGCAGCAGUAGGGAAUCUUCCGCAAUGGGCGAAAGCCUGACGGAGCAACGCUGCGUGAGUGAUGAAGGUCUUCGGAUCGUAAAACUCUGUUAUUAGGGAAGAACAUAUGUGUAAGUAACUGUGCACAUCUUGACGGUACCUAAUCAGAAAGCCACGGCUAACUACGUG